rnacentral:rRNA from 1 species
CAGCAGCCGCGGGAAUACGGAGGGUGCAAGCGUUAAUCGGAAUCACUGGGCGUAAAGCGUGCGUAGGCGGUUCGUUAAGUCUGUUGUGAAAGCCCCGGGCUCAACCUGGGAAUGGCAAUGGAUACUGGCGAGCUAGAGUGUGUCAGAGGAUGGUGGAAUUCCCGGUGUAGCGGUGAAAUGCGUAGAGAUCGGGAGGAACAUCAGUGGCGAAGGCGGCCAUCUGGGACAACACUGACGCUGAGGCACGAGAGCGUGGGGAGCAAACAGGAUUAGAGACCCGCGUAGUCCCUGUCUCUUAUAC